GAAAGUUUUUACUAGUUGUCCUCUAAACUCCAUGUGGAGGCUUUUUUCCUUUUUUUUUUUUCCAAUGAGUGGCUGUUUCUGGUUAGCUUCAACAUUUUCCCAAAUUCCACAAGGUAAAAAAGAAGCAUAUUUAGUUCUAUGUAAGAUGUUUAAGUGUUUAAGCCAAUACAUCAGACUGAUUCAAUCAUUGGGCAAGUUGAGACUCUGACCCAGCUUACAGAUUUCAUCUGUACAAGUAAACAUCCAGCUAUCCAGGACAUCCCUGGCCAUUCAGACAGCAGCUAAGGGCCCAUCAUCUCAUUGCUGUGGACCAAAUGGAACUUUUCCAAAUACUCCAUCUGAGGUGGGUUCAAAAGAUUCUCUGUAGUUGCUCCCCUAAAUGGCACAGUUAGUGACAAUGUGCAAACUGCUUUUAAAAUUCUAAAAUGUAACUUUUUGUAACACAUUUCUGUUGCUUUGUUCAGUGUUGUGUACGUAACUCUAACUUGAAUUUCCACAGCUUUUAACAAAUUCCCUGUGUUUGAAAGCUCAGUGGUUUCAAUGCAGAGUGAGGUAUUUACUGAUCCUACAUAUUAAUUUUGAAGCUGGAGCCACACUCAUGAGGAGGGACCUUCCACUUGACUGACUACUCUUGUCUUGCUCUUUCAGUUGUGUCAUAUUGGGCAACCUCAGAGACCAAAACUGAAAUAUGUGGGAGAAUGUGAAGGUAGGUAAUGAUUCAGUUAAAUCCUUGCUCACCUAAUGUUUACUGUGUGUCUUGUUGCAGUGAUAACUCCAGAGAGCCCCAGAGCUGCCAAGGAGAUUUUAUGUUCUGCUUAAUGAAAAUCAGUAGUAGAGGCCAAGAGGGGAGAUCUACCUUGAAAUAGCAGCAAUCAUUCCCUGAUUCACUGUGCAGUCCUGUCUCCCACAGUGUGGAUGGCUUACAAUGGAGGCGAUGGCAACCUGGCAGUGAUACAGGAGCACAUUACUUGCAGCUGUAGUGAGAUUUCACCCAGCAUUCUGAUGCAGAACUUAAUUUGCACUUGCAAAUUAAUCAUGGGCCUCUCUGUUCUCGUUGCUUGGGUAAAUAUUUUACUCUUGUGUAGACUUUGAUGGUGACCCGUGUGAGAACCAAGGUUCUUCAUUUCCUUCUUGUACAUGCUUACCUACCAAGCAAGCUUUUGAGCCCAGUGCCUUUUUCACACUUGGUAAAAUGAGUCUGUUUCCAUCAUGCAGCAUUGCUUCUUUGUAAAUCUGAAUACAAGUAAAGAAAUACAUGUCUUUUGCCAAA